UAGUGUGCUGCUGCUGCUGCCGGCGCGAUUUCUUCGCCCUUGCGAUUUAACUGCGUACUUUUCAAUUUCUCGCUGUGUCUCUCCGUUGCAUGCACCGUCGUGAGGCGCAGCGCUGCCGCCGGCCGACAUACCAGCGUAAGUGGUACAGCUUGGCGCCUCUGUAUCUCCUCUUCUCCCGGCAUCGUAGCGACGCCACCGUUCACGCACGCACAGGCACCCGCGGCUCGCGCCAGCACAUUGAAGUCGCGCGCGCUCUCCUGGCGUUUCUUGGGACAAGCGAAACGCCUUAACCCGCAAACACACACCGGGAGGCUCUCGUACACGCACCAUCUCCACUCCGGCCUGCUCGCGUAUUCUAUGUGAGGGUGAGUGCGCCAGUCACGCUUUCCGUGCAGCCGCCGGUGCAGUGAUUCACUCUCCGACGUGGCGGCAAGAGCGCCGGGCGCUCACAGCAGCACUCUGUGCACACUCUUGCACGUGAGCCCACUUAUCUGUGGCAUUGGACCGGAAAGAACGGGAGAGCGGACCCGCAAUGGCCUCGGACACAUCGAGCAACUUUUACUACUUCGCCUACGGAACCUAUGCCGAUGCAGCGGAGUUGCAGCGGUCUCUUGCCGCCGUCUCCGGUGGUGCCGUGCCGAUCAUCCAUUCAGCCCGCCCUGCCCUCCUUCCAGGGUACCGCCUCGUGUUCGACGCCGUGAGCGCUGAAGGGCCGCGGCUAGGCUGCAUCAACAUCGCCCCGCUCAGUCUCGUCGCCCGCGAUCCAUCGACGGCGCGCCUCUCUCCGAGCAAGGACCGGGAUGGAAAGUCACACGAGUACAAGACGGCUUUUCGCGACGGGGUUCGGGGGAUUCUGUACGAGCUCUCCGCCACUGUGCGUGAACCACUGCUGCUGGCUGUCGCGCGCGAAGGGUCGUUCAACAUGUAUGCCAUGCUCACCUGCUACGCGAUGAGUGACGUUCAUCGCGCCGUGCGGGCGCCAGACUCGCCGAUGUUUGCGUCCCUCGUGGUCGCCGCGCUGGACAUGCCGCUCAUGGAGCGCAAGUUCUCCGUGGAGGCCCUCAUGCAGCUUCGCUGGCAGCCGCUGCCGAAGCCGCAAGGGGUCCAGGCCCAACCAGGGCUGGUCGCCGUUGUUGCGUCCUCCCCGGCUGGCACUCCAAACGGUGCCGCUUCCACGCCUCAGCCGCGCUGGCCUGGAUUACAUUGGUGCAACUGCAUCCACUCCGUGCGCGUUGCCCCCAGCCAAGCAUACGCAGCGCUCCUGGAGAAGGCCUACCGUGAGUACAUCCACCUGAACAUAGCAGCCAAUCAGGACGGCAGUAGCUCCACUGCGGUCGCCACCCACAGAUCAGCGUCCUCGGAUAGCGGCGACGCCGACUUGUACGCGACAGCGAUCCAUCGCAUGGUGUACCAGCAGGCCCGCAAUGUCAGCAAGGACUCACAGGAGGUCAAGACGUGGUACUUGGCGUACGGCUCUAACAUGUCUUGGGAGCAGGUGUGCGUCCGUAUCGGCCCGCCGUACCAGCGCCGCCCCGCCAAGCUGCUCGGCUAUGUGCUCGUUGCCAAUGCAGUAUCCAUAGGCCACUCGAACGGAGGUAACUUCGGAUAUUACAACGUGGAGCCGGUGGUGCUGCGGGAAAUGAAGGAGGCGCAGGGGAUGGUGAAACACCCCAGUACGAUGCCGCCAUACGUCUGCGGUGCUGCGUACGAGAUCAGCCAGGCACAGUUGGAGAUCAUGGACACCUACGAAAGAGGCUACUCCCGCGAGCUGCACCGCUGCACCGACCUAAGCGAUGCGACGGCGGCCCCGCUGGAGUGCUGGACUUACAUUGCACAGCACACUUCCGAAGAGUUGCUGCCGUCGCACGAGUACC
rnacentral:misc_RNA from 1 species